AAAUCCGCUUUGAUAAUGCUGGGAUGUGAUGGGGAGCGAAAUUUAGUAGCGAAGUAGCUGAUUUCACACUGUCAAGAAAAGUCUCUAUCGAGGUUAAAGGUACCCGUACCGCAAACCGACACAGGGGGGUGAGGAGAGUAUCCUAAGGCCAGCGAGAGAACUGUUGUUAAGGAACUCGGCAAAAUGACCCCGUAACUUAGGGAUAAGGGGUGCCACCAUCAGGUGGCCGCAGAGAAUAGGCCCAAGCGACUGUUUACCAAAAACAUAGGUUUCUGCUAAGUCGCAAGACGAUGUAUAGGAGCUGACGCCUGCCCGGUGCUGGAAGGUUAAGGGGAUCUGUUAGAGCAA
rnacentral:rRNA from 1 species